rnacentral:rRNA from 1 species
UACGUAGGGUGCAAGCGUUAAUCGGAAUUACUGGGCGUAAAGCGUGCGCAGGCGGUGCUGUAAGACAGGCGUGAAAUCCCCGGGCUUAACCUGGGAAUGGCGCUUGUGACUGCAGUGCUGGAGUGCGGCAGAGGGGGAUGGAAUUCCGCGUGUAGCAGUGAAAUGCGUAGAUAUGCGGAGGAACACCGAUGGCGAAGGCAAUCCCCUGGGCCUGUACUGACGCUCAUGCACGAAAGCGUGGGGAGCAAACAGG